GGUGCAAGCGUUAUCCGGAUUCACUGGGCGUAAAGAUCGUGUAGGCGGUUCACCGCAUCGCACUUGAAAGCACGAGGCUUAACCUCGUCGUUGGGUGCGAGAUGGGUAGACUUCUGAGGGCAGUAGAGGAAAGGGGAACUGAUGGUGGAGCAGUGAAAUGCGUUGAUAUCAUCAGGAACACCAAAGGCGAAGGCACCUUUCUGGACUGUACCUGACGCUGAGACACGAAAGCUAGGGGAGCGAAGCAGAUUAGAGACCUGCGUNGUCCUAGCCCUAAACGCAUGUCUGCUAGUUGCCCCGGAUCAAAGCGCACACGCUUUGAGAAAUUCGAAGCACGAAAUACGAAAAACGAAACAAUUUUUAAAUUUAAAUAUUUAAAUUUUAAAUAUAUUUAUUUCGAAUUUCGAUAUUCAUUUUUUUGGAUUUUUCAAAAUGCUUGUGCAUUUGAUCUGGGGUGAACGUUAGCUAACCCUUUUAGCAAACCGCCUGGGGAAUACAACCCCACCUUAAACUCCAAGGAAUUGAC
rnacentral:rRNA from 1 species